rnacentral:misc_RNA from 1 species
AAGAGUGUAAUAACUCCCAAACCCAUGUGAACAUACCUCAUGUUGCCUCGGCAGGUCGCGCCCCCUCGUAGGCCCUACCCUGUAAGGCUUACCCGGAAGGCGCGGGUACUCCUGCCGGCGGCCCACGAAACUCUGUCUCAUCGUUGAAUUCUGAACCUAUAACUAAAUAAGUUA